rnacentral:rRNA from 1 species
UGGGGAAUUUUGGACAAUGGGCGAAAGCCUGAUCCAGCAAUGCCGCGUGUGUGAAGAAGGCCUUCGGGUUGUAAAGCACUUUUGUCCGGAAAGAAAUCCUUGGCUCUAAUACAGUCGGGGGAUGACGGUACCGGAAGAAUAAGCACCGGCUAACUACGUGCCAGCAGCCGCGGUAAUACGUAGGGUGCAAGCGUUAAUCGGAAUUACUGGGCGUAAAGCGUGCGCAGGCGGUUUGCUAAGACCGAUGUGAAAUCCCCGGGCUCAACCUGGGAACUGCAUUGGUGACUGGCAGGCUAGAGUAUGGCAGAGGGGGGUAGAAUUCCACGUGUAGCAGUGAAAUGCGUAGAGAUGUGGAGGAAUACCGAUGGCGAAGGCAGCCCCCUGGGCCAAUACUGACGCUCAUGCACGAAAGCGUGGGGAGCAAAACAGGAUUAGAUACCCUGGUAGUCCACGCCCUAAACGAUGUCAACUAGUUGUUGGGGAUUCAUUUCCUUAGUAACGUAGCUAACGCGUGAAGUUGAUCGCCUGGGGAGUACGGUCGCAAGAUUAAAACUUAAAUGAAUUGACGGGGUCAUAGCUGUUUCCU